AGCAAUCCUGUUUCAGGGCAAUCUGAGCUUGAGCUUUCUGUGAGACUACUGAAGCUUUAGAAGGAAGAGGCUGAAGCUGCUGCUCUUAGACUAAAACACAGCUUCAUAGUAGACAGACACGUGAAAGAUAAGCCUUUGAAGUUGAACCUGCCGGUGGAGAUGACAAGCCUCAAGAAACCUCGCCAGGCCCACAGGCAUCCAGCUGCAGCUCAGAAUAAGGACGCUGCUGUGUGUUUUCUGAUGAAGGACAAGGACAUCAGGAGGUGAGCAGGAAACACACCAGGUGUUGCCUUGAGAGGAUGGCGAUCAAAGAUGGAGAUUCCAAGCCUGCCCUUUGGGUAAGAGAGAACUGCUUCAAGACUCUACACAGUGUUGUCUGUUUUGCACUUUAUCUUUUGGUGGUUUUGGAAAUAAUUGAUUGUCCUGAAGGAAUGAAUGCCAAUGUGUUACUUUGAUAUGCAUCCAGAAAACUCCUCACAGAGCAACAUCAAUGGGUGAAGAUAUAUCCACCACUGCCUCCACAGCUUUAGCUGCUUUCCAGAGUUGUACCAGGUUUCAGGUUGAUAGUUUGAGGUGAACACCAGCCGUUUUCUACUGUGGGUCAUUCAAGCUGUUUGAUCAGAGUGUUUAACCCUGUCCUUCAUCUGGAUCUCAUGUUGAAUGUACAGUUCAGAGCACAUAGUAACGCUGAAGGGACAAAAGGCAAUGUCUACAGUAAUGUCUCUUUCUCAACAAAGGCUUUUUUGUAUUUCAGAUGUCAGAGAUGAGCAUGUAGAGGUGAGCAUUACAUACACAUUAUUUUAUGUGGGUACAUCUGUGUGAGUGUGUGCACGUGUGGAAUGUCAAAGGGAGCAGCAGCAUGACAGGAAGUAAAUAUUAUGUAGGUCUACUGGGGGUUAACACCAUUUCCUGUUGACCCCUCCUCAACAAAUAUGUUCAAUGUGCAAUCGUUCUCUCUCUCUCUCUCUCUCUCUCUCCCACAUACAAAGUUAUUAUUAGCUUAGGUCCUUCAUAACUUUAUUCUAAUGCCAUCGGGUCUCGUCAUGAGGACACAUGCAAUGUCACAUGCGUCCCUCGGAUUCAUGUCAGCAAAGGUCGGCUCAUUUGGGUGUGUAUAGUUUUGUGAUUUCUAAUAGCUGAAAUCCAUCCCUUUUGCAUAAUAUUUCUUUGUCAGUUUGCAUGCUGUGUAUGCGGUCAGUUAUCCCUGUGGCCCAUGGUGCAGUGCUGCAUCUCUGGUCAGUUGGUAGUCUGAGAUGAAGCACUGUAGCUCGGGACGGAGGACAGAAAACCCGGUGUCCAGCAGCAGGUCUACAGGGGCCGUUAUGUGCGGCAGGAGGGGGUUUUGUGGACUAGAAACUCUUUAAGGUCUGCUUCACGGCCCGCUGCUCUUAAUGUGGACUUAGUAUAGUGGGCGGCCCCUUGCCCGCAUCCUACCCCUGCUUCCAGCGCAAUUACUCGGACCACAUCCAUCUCGGAUAAAUAUAGUUAAAUAGCUGUAAUAAAUCCUGAGAACCCUACAAGGAUUUCAGCAUUCAGGAGAAAAGUACAGACAUGAGGUUUUUGGCAUUUUCUAUUAUUCAUGUACAUAUGAAUUCUGAACCUCUGCACUGGUUCUGGUGAUGGAUGAUGACAGAAACAGAAGUUAUUGAUUUCCUCUCUCCUGGGGUCCAGUUUUCCCAGGAAUCCCUUGACCUAUCAGAAAGGGGGAUUCCUGGAAAUACUGUUCUUGGGGGCGGGGCUUAUCCACUCAACCAGUUAACACAUCAUUAUUUGUGUUGUGUGUAAUAUAUUCAUACUGUACUGUGUGUACAUGUCACAUUCCUUUUCAUGAGGUGUAACUUUAACCAAUCCCUGGCUCCUAUCUGACUACUGAUCAUGGUUGAAUAAACAUUGAAACAAAGAAACGUUUGUAUGCAUUUAUUGUACAUGAAUAUUGCAGUUUGGAAGUACAGUGGGAUAUAUAAAGGGAAGGAAAAAUUACUCAGAUCCUUUACUUAGCACAGAAAAAAAUCCUUUAUAGCACAUGUGUCAAACUCAAGGCCCGCGGGGCCACAUCCGGCCCGUGAAUUAAUUAUCUUUGGCCCGCAUGAUCAAAUCUAUUUACUAUUAGAGCUGGCCCGCCGGUAUAUCGCACGCAUCACCAUAAUACUACAAAUCCCACAGCUCUCCAUGUGUUCGCGGGCCCGCCGUGUACCUUUUGAUCGUCCCUUUAACCGUAUAAACCAUAAAACGAAAACACUCGUUUCUGGUUUUUUGUUUUAGAUCCAAAACCGGAAAAAGGAAGUGGGCGGCCGUGAGAGGGUUAAUUCUGACCAUUAAUGAAGCAGUUGCAGCUAAGAUAGCCCUGAAAUUGUCCUUACUCUUAAUAUAAGAUAAUGGUUCCCUGUACUCUAUUUACCAUGUUAGAAGUUCAUUGGCUAACAACUCAAAUUCUUGUUUUUGGAUUUCAAAACAAAGAAAGAAAACAAUGCAGUAGAGAAAUACAGUAACAGAGCUGAACUUUAUUCAACUAUGGUAAAUGUCAAAGAUAAAGCUCCAUAAAAUAGAACAGGUUGCAUCAUCAACUUAAAAAACGGACGCACAUAAAAUGUUUUUAAAAAAAUCAGGACAAAGACAAACUGCUUCAAAUAUGUGCAGCCUUUUGUAAACUGUAUUUCACCAUCAUUACAGGAAUGAUCAAAGAGGUAAGGAAUUAGGUCCGAACAAUAAUGC